rnacentral:tRNA from 1 species
CGGGAUAUAGCUCAGCAGGUAGAGCAUACGAUUGAUAAUCGUAAGGUCGGAAGUUCGACUCUUCCUGUCCCGACCA